ACACCUCAACUCUCAUGGUUUGCCAUGAUGAGCUUGGACCCUGGGGGUUUGCUGGCCUGUAGUCAGCUCCUCUCAAAUGAAUCAGCCUCCAAGUGUUUGGUGGCAUCACGGGUGUGAUAACUAUCUACGCUUGUGGUUUUUCACCAGGUAACCUCCAGUGAUGGGGGUUCGCUGGAGCUCACAGAUGUCUCUCCUCAGCGAGGACAGCUUUUUGAAC
rnacentral:misc_RNA from 1 species